rnacentral:tRNA from 1 species
CUCCGCUUGGUGUAGUUGGUUUAUCACGUUUGACUGUAAAGUUUCGCUGCUUCCCUCACCGGAAGCGUGAUGUGCAUGCCAUCAAAAGGUCCCUAGUUCGAUUCUGGGAGCGGAGA